CCUACGGGGGGCAGCAGUGAGGAAUAUUGGUCAAUGGGCGCUAGCCUGAACCAGCCAAGUAGCGUGAAGGAUGACUGCCCUAUGGGUUGUAAACUUCUUUUAUAUGGGAAUAAAGUGCAGUAUGUAUACUGCUUUGCAUGUACCUUAUGAAUAAGGAUCGGCUAACUCCGUGCCAGCAGCCGCGGUAAUACGGAGGAUUCGAGCGUUAUCCGGAUUUAUUGGGUUUAAAGGGAGCGUAGGCGGGUUGUUAAGUCAGUUGUGAAAGUUUGCGGCUCAACCGUAAAAUUGCAGUUGAUACUGGCAGCCUUGAGUACAGUAGAGGUAGGCGGAAUUCGUGGUGUAGCGGUGAAAUGCUUAGAUAUCACGAAGAACUCCGAUUGCGAAGGCAGCCUGCUGGACUGUAACUGACACUGAUGCUCGAAAGUGUGGGUAUCAAACAGGAUUAGAUACCCGAGUAGUC
rnacentral:rRNA from 1 species